rnacentral:lncRNA from 1 species
CUCGGCCCCGGUGGAAGUUAUCGGGUGGCAGCAGAGUUGGAAUGGGAUAGGUAGUUCCCCGUUUCCAGGACCCCAGACGGCCUGCUGGGACAGUGUAUAUGAGUCCGGAAUGGGCUGGACCAGGGUCAGGCUAGCCCAGACUUCAGGUACGGGCUGUGAUGACGAGGAGUGGGCUAGUCUCCCGGGUCGGUCACCGCUGAACUCUCAGGAGGAAGCACUCAAUUGAACAAGUGCAGGAACCAGCUGGCUGCCUCAGCACUGACAGAAGCAAAUUCCAUUUGCUUGGACCCACUGCAUUCCAUCCCUUGUGGAAGAGAGCAUGUAAGCAAGACAGGACCUUCAGGCCUCUGAAAAAAAAAGGAUCAAAGAACUGAAACUCACCAGAUCACCUCACCAGAUGCUGGACCCCUCAUUCACCAUGUUUGCUUCCUUGCCUCUCCCUAGUUCUUAUUUUCUUACACAUUGUUACAUUUCUUCCCUGCUAUAUCAACCCCUAGUUCUAGUCAGUCAUGGAGAUGGAUUUGAGACUGAUCUCCCAUCCCCUCAGCUACACCACCUGAUUAAAGCCUUCUUCCUUGGCAAUAAUCAUUGUCUCAGUCAUUGGCUUUCUGUGCAGGGAGCAGCAGGACCUAGACUAAACCCCUGGUGUUUUGGUAACAAAAUAAGGCCAGGCACAGAAAGACAAACAUCACAUGUUCACACUUAUUUGUGGGAUCUAAAUACCAGAACAAUUGAACUCAUAGAGAUAGAGAGUAGAAGGAUUAUUACCAGAGGCUGGGAAGUGUGGUUGAAGGAGUUGGUGGGCAGUGGGGAUGUAGAAUGUGUCCAAAAAAAGGAAUAGAAUGAAGAAGUCCUAGUAUUUGAUAGCACAACAGGGUGACUAUAGUCAAUAAUCAUUUAACUGUACAUUUUAAAAUAACUUAAAAGGUGUAAUUGGGUUGUUUGUAACACAAAUGAUAAAUGCUUGAAGGAAUUGCUACUCCAUUUUCCAUGAUGUGAUUAUUGUGCAUUGCAUGCCUGUAUCAAAAUGCCUCAUGUACCUCAUAAAUAUAUAUACCUACUAUGUACCCACAAAAAUUUUUUAAGAAAA